AACGAACGCUGGCGGCGCGCCUAAUACAUGCAAGUCGAGCGAGAAGACGUAGCAAUACGUUUGUAAAGCGGCGAACGGGUGAGGAAUACAUGGGUAACCUACCCUCGAGUGGGGAAUAACUAGCCGAAAGGUUAGCUAAUACCGCGUACGCUCCUCGGACUUCGGUUCAGGGAGGAAAGCGAUACCGUGGGUAUCGCGCUCUUGGAUGGGCUCAUGUCCUAUCAGCUUGUUGGUGAGGUAACGGCUCACCAAGGCUUCGACGGGUAGCUGGUCUGAGAGGACGAUCAGCCACACUGGCACUGCGACACGGGCCAGACUCCUACGGGAGCAGCAGUAAGGAAUAUUGCGCAAUGGGCAAAGCCUGACGCAGCGACGCCGCGGUGGGGGAU
rnacentral:rRNA from 1 species